rnacentral:tRNA from 1 species
CAAGCUAUAGCUUAUCUAUAAAGCUUUUUAGUUACAUUAAAAGUAAAACUUUUUGUUUAGUUUGA